rnacentral:rRNA from 1 species
AGUGAACGCUGGCGGCGUGCUUAACACAUGCAAGUCGAGCGAAUUUCAGCAGCAUAUCGCUGAAGUUAGCGGCAGACGGGUGAGUAAUAUUUGGGCAAUCUGCCCUUAAGUGGAAAACAACCUGCCGAAAGGCGGGCUAAUGUUCCAUAAGACCACGGGAUGGCAUCAUCCAGGGGUUAAAGCCUCGCAAGGGGCGCUUGAGGAGGAGCCCGAAUCCAUCAUGGUAGUUGGUGAGGUAACGGCUCACCAAGCCUUUGACGGGUAGCCGACCUGAAAGGGUGACCGGCCACACUGGCACUGAGACACGGGCCAGACUCCUACGGAGGCAGCAGUGGGAAUUUUGGACAAUGGGGCAACCCUGAUCCAGCGACGCCGCGUGAAGGAUGAAGGUCUUCGGAUUGUAAACUUCUUUUGGAGGGGAUGAACUGGCCGUUGAAGAGACGGCCUUGACAGUACUCUCUG